GAGAAAUACCAGCAAGAGAUUCUCAGGAGCUCCAAACAACCAAACAGCCUUUACUAUCAACUUUAGAAAAUCAGAGAAACUUUGGCAAAUGGUUUAUCACAACAUUGUAGUGGUUUUGCUUUGUUAAUGCUUUUUUACAGCUUAUUGAUGGGUCAUGUCAACUUCUGAGGUAUUGUUUUAAAGGUCUCCACAUGCUGCAAGUGGUUUCCAGCUGUGACUUCCUGUCCAAUGGAGCGUCAAUGGAUCCCACCAGUAUGGCUACAAGGGCUGGGAUUUCAUCUCCUUCCAGCUGGGAUCCAGGAGCUUUGCAGUGUCCGAUGGUGCCACCUGGAUCAGACAGAGGUGCUGGGAAUCCAAAGGGAUCAUGGUGGAGCAGACGAAGCAUUACCUGGGACACACCUGGGUGGAAAUACAUCAGAUGGGGUUGGGUGGCUCUGGAGCACAAAGGUCAGGCUGUUCCUGCAGGGUCACACAUGCGGCUGAACCUGCAGACAGAAGAGAGAGAAGCCAAGCUCCAAGACAAAGAAAAUGGGAAAAGUGACACAAGAAGAGAGAAGAAGGAAAAGGGCAGAGCUGUCUUUUGUUGAGUUAUCUUCUGCAGUGCUCGAGCUCUCCCGAUGGAUCUGAGAAGGUCGCUGUGCUGGUUCUUGAGGAUGUACGG